GAUGAACGCUGGCGGCGUGCCUAAUACAUGCAAGUCGAGCGAAUGGAUUAAGAGCUUGCUCUUAUGAAGUUAGCGGCGGACGGGUGAGUAACACGUGGGUAACCUGCCCAUAAGACUGGGAUAACUCCGGGAAACCGGGGCCAAUACCGGUUCACAUUUUGAACCGCAUGGUUCGACAUUGAACGGCGGCUUCGGCCGUCACUUAUGGACGGACCCGCGUCGCAUUAGCUAGUUGGUGAGGUAACGGCUCACCAAGGCAACGAUGCGUAGCCGACCUGAGAGGGUGAUCGGCCACACUGGGACUGAGACACGGCCCAGACUCCUACGGGAGGCAGCAGUAGGGAAUCUUCCGCAAUGGACGAAAGUCUGACGGAGCAACGCCGCGUGAGUGAUGGAGGCUUUCGGGUCGUAAAACUCUGUUGUUAGGGAAGAACAAGUGCUAGUUGAAUAAGCUGGCACCUUGACGGUACCUAACCAGAAAGCCACGGCUAACUACGUGCCAGCCGCCGCCGUAA
rnacentral:rRNA from 1 species